rnacentral:snoRNA from 2 species
CCGCAAAUGAUGAUUAAGAAUUCGCAUAGUUCAUCUGACUAUCAAUGAAGAAUUAAUCUUAGCAUGUCUUUCGCUCCUAUCUGAUUUUUAUC